GUAGGUGGCAAGCGUUGUCCGGGAAUUAUUGGGCGUAAAGCGCGCGCAGGCGGUUCGUUUAAGUCUGAUGUGAAAGCCCACGGGCUCAACCGUGGAGGGUCAUUGGAAACUGGAGAACUUGAGUACAGAAGAGGAAAGUGGAAUUCCACGUGUAGCGGUGAAAUGCGUAGAGAUGUGGAGGAACACCAGUGGCGAAGGCGGCUUUCUGGUCUGUAACUGACGCUGAGGCGCGAAAGCGUGGGGAGCAAACAGGAUUAGAUACCCUGGUAGUCCACGCCGUAAACGAUGAGUGCUAAGUGUUAGGGGGUUUCCGCCCCUUAGUGCUGCAGCUAACGCAUUAAGCACUCCGCCUGGGGAGUACGGCCGCAAAGGCUG
rnacentral:rRNA from 1 species